rnacentral:rRNA from 1 species
GGAUUAGGCAUGCAAGUCGCACGAGAAAGGCUUCUUCGGAAGCCGAGUAAAGUGGCGAACGGGUGAGUAAUGCAUAGACAACUUGCCCUUGAGAUGGGGACAACGCCUCGAAAGGGGUGCUAAUACCCAAUGCCGCCUUGGGCCUGCGGGUCCAGGGUGAAAGGAGGCCUCUGAUUCAAGCUUCCGCUCAAGGAGAGGUUUAUGUCCUAUUAGCUAGUUGGCGGGGUAACGGCCCACCAAGGCUGCGAUGGGUAGCCGGCCUGAGAGGGUGACCGGCCACAUUGGGACUGAGACACUGCCCAGACUCCUACGGGAGGCUGCAGUCGAGAAUCUUCCGCAAUGCGCGCAAGCGUGACGGAGCGACGCCGCGUGGGUGAUGAAGGCCUUCGGGUUGUAAAACCCUGUCAGCUACUACGAAACACGGGCGAUGAACAAUCGUCCCGUCUGACUUAAGUAGCAGAGGAAGCACCGGCUAACUACGUGCCAGCAGCCGCGGUAAUACGUAGGGUGCAAACGUCGUUCGGAAUCACUGGGCAUAAAGGGCGCGUAGGCGGUCUGAUAAGUCAGGUGUGAAAUCCCUCGGCCUAACCGAGGAACUGCAUUUGAUACUGUCGGGCUAGAGUACAGGAGGGGAGAGUGGAAUUCCUGGUGGAGCGGUGAAAUGCGUAGAUAUCAGGAGGAACGCCGGCGGCGAAAGCGACUCUCUGGCCUGUUACUGACGCUGAGGCGCGAAAGCUAGGGGAGCAAACGGGAUUAGAUACCCCGGUAGUCCUAGCCCUAAACGAUGGGCACUAAGUAGAGGGGUUUU